GACGAACGCUGGCGGCGUGCUUAACACAUGCAAGUCGAACGGAAAGGCCUCUUUCGGGGGGUACUCGAGUGGCGAACGGGUGAGUAACACGUGAGUAACCUGCCCUUGACUUUGGGAUAACUUCAGGAAACUGGGGCUAAUACCGGAUAGGAGCUCCUGCUGCAUGGUGGGGGUUGGAAAGUUUCGGCGGUUGGGGAUGGACUCGCGGCUUAUCAGCUUGUUGGUGGGGUAGUGGCUUACCAAGGCUUUGACGGGUAGCCGGCCUGAGAGGGUGACCGGCCACAUUGGGACUGAGAUACGGCCCAGACUCCUACGGGAGGCAGCAGUGGGGAAUAUUGCACAAUGGGUGGAAGCCUGAUGCAGCAACGCCGUGUGCGGGAUGACGGCCUUCGGGUUGUAAACCGUUUUCGCUCAUGACGAAGCUUUGUGUGACGGUAGUGGGUAAAGAAGCACCGGCUAACUACGUG
rnacentral:rRNA from 1 species